GAUGAACGCUGGCGGCGUGCUUAACACAUGCAAGUCGAACGGAAGUUUUAAAAGGAAGUUUUCGGAUGGAAUUUAAAACUUUAGUGGCGGACGGGUGAGUAACGCGUGAGUAACCUGCCCUUAAGAGGGGGAUAACACACCGAAAGGUGUGCUAAUACCGCAUAACAUACAUUUGCCGCAUGACAGAUGUAUCAAAGAUUUAUCGCUUAAGGAUGGACUCGCGUCUGAUUAGAUAGUUGGUGAGGUAACGGCUCACCAAGUCGACGAUCAGUAGCCGAACUGAGAGGUUGAUCGGCCACAUUGGGACUGAGACACGGCCCAGACUCCUACGGGAGGCAGCAGUGGGGAAUAUUGCGCAAUGGGGGCAACCCUGACGCAGCAACGCCGCGUGAAGGAUGAAGGUCUUCGGAUCGUAAACUUUUGUCUUAUGGGAAGAACAAGGACGGUACCAUAGGAGGAAGCCACGGCUAACUACGUG
rnacentral:rRNA from 1 species